rnacentral:rRNA from 1 species
CUGCAAGUCGAGCGGAAGGCCCUUCGGGGUACUCGAGCGGCGAACGGGUGAGUAACACGUGAGUAACCUGCCCCUGACUCUGGGAUAAGCCUGGGAAACCGGGUCUAAUACCGGAUAUGACACUCCUCCGCAUGGUGUGGGUGUGGAAAGUUUUUUCGGUUGGGGAUGGACUCGCGGCCUAUCAGCUUGUUGGUGGGGUGAUGGCCUACCAAGGCGACGACGGGUAGCCGGCCUGAGAGGGCGACCGGCCACACUGGGACUGAGACACGGCCCAGACUCCUACGGGAGGCAGCAGUGGGGAAUAUUGCGCAAUGGGCGAAAGCCUGACGCAGCGACGCCGCGUGGGGGAUGACGGCCUUCGGGUUGUAAACCUCUUUCAGCAGGGACGAAGUUGACGUGUACCUGUAGAAGAAGCGCCGGCUAACUACGUGCCAGCAGCCGCGGUAAUACGUAGGGCGCGAGCGUUGUCCGGAAUUAUUGGGCGUAAAGAGCUCGUAGGUGGCUUGUUGCGUCUGCCGUGAAAGCCCGUGGCUUAACUACGGGUCUGCGGUGGAUACGGGCAGGCUAGAGGCUGGUAGGGGCAAGCGGAAUUCCUGGUGUAGCGGUGAAAUGCGCAGAUAUCAGGAGGAACACCGGUGGCGAAGGCGGCUUGCUGGGCCAGUUCUGACGCUGAGGAGCGAAAGCGUGGGGAGCGAACAGGAUUAGAUACCCUGGUAGUCCACGCUGUAAACGUUGGGCGCUAGGUGUGGGGGUCUUCCACGAUCUCUGUGCCGUAGCUAACGCAUUAAGCGCCCCGCCUGGGGAGUACGGCCGCAAGGCUAAAACUCAAAGGAAUUGACGGGGGCC